UCCUAUCUACAGGAAACGGUUGAACAACAACCCUUCCCAGAUUUCGGUCAGUAACGCCACUGUCCACCGAUGCACCGUUGUCGUCCGAUCGCCAAUGCAGCCUAAAAUUCGUCCAUCGCUUCCUCUCUGCUUCCUUGUCUCGGAUACAAGCUCGGGUUUUCACGGAUCCUCUUCAAAGCCCUGAAUCUGGAGCUACGAGCCGUGGCUUUUUCCACUGUCUCAACUUCUUUCCACCGGUCGAUCAGGCUGAUUUUCAGAUAUGUUGCUCACCGUCCUUCGUUCUCCCUUUCUACCGUUCCGAUUUUCAGACAGCAUCUCCACCAUGGACCGUCACCGCCGCUACAGAUAUUGGGACAAAACUUUUCUGCAAACCUUAUAUUUUCUGUGUUUUCUAGUAUGGUUAUUGGUAUCUGACUCGUCUCUGUAAUUGUCUUUUCCUGACUUGGGUUUUGUACUUUUGAUUAUGUCGCCUCUUUCGAUGGCCAAAUUGCUUCUGUCAAUUUGUGUUUCUGAUGAUGGCAAUGUAGUGUGUAGGUUCGGUGAUGAAAGAUUAGGUUUGCAAGUGAUGAUAAUAUGUUGGAAUGCUACUAUUUCAGUGGCUGUGUAGGGUCCAAGAUUGCUAACUUGUGGUGUAUUUGCUGGAUAUGGGUUAUAUGGCAGAGUCGGCUUGGAAGAGAUUCUGGUAGCAAGAAUGCCGUUGAAAUGAUGAUAUGAGGAGGCUGAGUAUA
rnacentral:lncRNA from 1 species